rnacentral:rRNA from 1 species
AGUGAACGCUGGCGGUAGGCCUAACACAUGCAAGUCGAACGGCAGCACAGUAAGAGCUUGCUCUUACGGGUGGCGAGUGGCGGACGGGUGAGGAAUACAUCGGAAUCUACUUUUUCGUGGGGGAUAACGUAGGGAAACUUACGCUAAUACCGCAUACGACCUACGGGUGAAAGCAGGGGAUCUUCGGACCUUGCGCGAUUGAAUGAGCCGAUGUCGGAUUAGCUAGUUGGCGGGGUAAAGGCCCACCAAGGCGACGAUCCGUAGCUGGUCUGAGAGGAUGAUCAGCCACACUGGAACUGAGACACGGUCCAGACUCCUACGGGAGGCAGCAGUGGGGAAUCUUGGACAAUGGGCGCAAGCCUGAUCCAGCCAUACCGCGUGGGUGAAGAAGGCCUUCGGGUCGUAAAGCCCUUUUGUUGGGAAAGAAAAGCAGCAGGUUAAUACCCCGCUGUUCUGACGGUACCCAAAGAAUAAGCACCGGCUAACUUCGUG